rnacentral:lncRNA from 1 species
GUCUUCAGCUGCUAGUUGCUUGAUUGGGUUAAUGAGCAUGUGUGGUGGGACAUGCCCCUAGCUGGUAAGGGGCAACCUGUCAGAGGGGGCUGUCUACAUGUGGAAGUUAACAGGAGAUUAUCAGUCAAACAAGGAUUAUCUCUAUCCAUCAGGAUACUGCUUCAUGUUACACCUUUCCUUCACAGGGAUAUAUUGGAGUAGCUUACUGGUACGUACUGUGAAUUUAAAACACAUUCUCUUAAGAGUAAAUAUAAUUGUGUUUACAUUUUUU